UACGAGGGGGGCAAGCGUUGUUCGGAAUUACUGGGCGUAAAGGGCUCGUAGGCGGCCAACUAAGUCAGACGUGAAAUCCCUCGGCUUAACCGGGGAACUGCGUCUGAUACUGGAUGGCUUGAGAUUGGGAGAGGGAUGCGGAAUUCCAGGUGUAGCGGUGAAAUGCGUAGAUAUCUGGAGGAACACCGGUGGCGAAGGCGGCAUCCUGGACCAACACUGACGCUGAGGAGCGAAAGCCAGGGGAGCAAACGGG
rnacentral:rRNA from 1 species